UCAAGUUUGUGGUCUGGUUCAUGUCAUCUGCAAUGUCGGAGGUGUAUUUUAAAACACAUUCCAAUUGGAGCUUUUUCUUGUGAUUGGCAUCAUAACGGCGAAAACAUAAAACUAGAAUGCAUUAUGGAAUGGAACUUUAAUGAUCUGCAAUGGAUUAUCAACUAAUUAUAAACCUUCCUUGUAGGUGCUUUCAGAUGUAUAAAGCAUUUUUUUAUUAAUAUCAAAGUGCAUACAGAACGAAGUUUGACAGGUGGGGCAAAAUCUGUAAUAACUGAUUUGAAAAAAAAAAAUUCUUGUGCUUGCAGGUUCAUUCUGAGAAUCACCAAAUACCGUCAAAAGUCUCAGAUCAGAUGGAAAUCUGGAAAGAGGGUGCAAAGAAAAACCAUCAGCACAGUAGGGGCACUUUAAAUCUAAAUAAAAAGGAGAAAACCGCCUCACUGUUUUGCAAUGCUGAAUACAGACAAGAAAACUGGAAAAAACUGGCGGAAAAAAAAAAUAUAUAUAUCAUACUGAGCUUGCAGCUUUGCUUCACUGAAAGGAAAAUAAUACUGCCACAUGCUGAUCUUUGACCUAAUGAAAGCUUUUCCACACCAAGGGGGUUAAACAAUACCAAGAUAAACCAACCCAGAUAAAAGUGCUUAGAAUUUCUUACUCUUUCUUAUAAACAAGAACAUAUUGAAGCAUGCUUUAGCAAUGCUGUUGAGAUAUUCAUUCAAAAUCACCAUACUAACUUUCAAUCGUUAAACCCUAGCAGAAACGAACGCUUUACAGACAAACCAUACCAAGAGGAGAAAUAAGUGCCUCAUCACAAACUCUGAUCACAUGAUUUGAACUCCAGCCUCGGUUACACAACAAGGCCAUGUCUGCAGUGUCCUGCAUUGUGACAAUCUGUUAGUCAACAGUUUCAAACAUUUUUAUCAGCAGCAUAUAAUUUAAGCUAAAACU